CAGAGGCCUGACAGUCGUUUUAUCUA
rnacentral:piRNA from 1 species